rnacentral:rRNA from 1 species
GACGAACGCUGGUGGCGUGCCUAAUACAUGCAAGUCGAGCGGAGCUUAUCCUUCGGGGUAAGCUUAGCGGGGGACGGGUGAGUAACACGUAGGCAACCUGCCCCUUAGCCUGGGAUAACUACCGGAAACGGUAGCUAAUACCGGAUAAUUUCUUUUUUCUCCUGAAGAGAGAAUGAAAGGCGGAGCAAUCUGCCAUUAAGGGAUGGGCCUGCGGCGCAUUAGCUAGUUGGUGGGGUAACGGCUCACCAAGGCGCCGAUGCGUAGCCGACCUGAGAGGGUGAACGGCCACACUGGGACUGAGACACGGCCCAGACUCCUACGGGAGGCAGCAGUAGGGAAUCUUCCGCAAUGGGCGAAAGCCUGACGGAGCAACGCCGCGUGAGUGAUGAAGGUUUUCGGAUCGUAAAGCUCUGUUGCCAGGGAAGAACGUCCGGUAGAGUAACUGCUACCGGAGUGACGGUACCUGAGAAGAAAGCCCCGGCUAACUACGUGCCAGCCGCCGCGGUAA